CCCAAUCCACUGGGCCGUUAGAACGAGCUAGAGAGAAGCGUCCUCUCGUCACGCCAUGAGAGCCGCUUGCUUCUGCUUGUCCUUCACCGCUGCCUCUCCCCCCCUCCCUUCCACCUCCACCGCUGCCUCGAGCCCACGCUGUCAGAGUCACGCCUCCUACCGCUGGUCCCAGCCACGCCAUAGCCGCGGCGGGGUGGUCCGGGCCCUCCACGAGCGGCUGCUAGAGACACCAACCCCCGCACCAGCGGAGACCGAGGUCGAGGAUGAGAGUGGUGUCGGUGAGAUAGAAGACGGCGGUGAACGGGAGGGAAGAGAUGGGCAGGCUGAUAUUGUGGGCCCGUCGGAGGCCCAGGAGCAGCCGAAGAGCAGGCGACGACAGCAGCAGGAGGAAGAGGAUGCCACGGCGGAGCGCGCCCGGUUCAAGCUCAUCAACGGCAAAGAGAUAUUUCAAGAGAAGACCUACCUAGUUGGAGUCGAGUGCAAGAGGGCCGCAAGAGAUAACUUCAGCAUAGAGGAAUCGCUCAAGGAGCUUGAGCAGUUAGCUGAUACUGCUGGGCUCAUGGUUCUCGGAUCGACCUAUCAAAAGCUUUCAAGUCCAAAUCCAAGGACUUAUAUUGGUUCAGGGAAGGUUGCUGAAAUUAGGAGUGCAGUUCAGGCCCUUGAUAUUGAGACUAUAAUUUUCGAUGAUGAGUUGUCUGCUGGACAGCUGCGUAACUUGGAGAAGUCCUUUGGUGGAGGUGUUCGAGUCUGUGACCGGACUGCUCUUAUUCUGGACAUUUUUAAUCAAAGGGCAGUGACACAUGAAGCUGCUCUGCAGGUCACCCUGGCACAAAUGGAAUAUCAACUUCCUAGGUUGACAAAACUGUGGACUCACCUUGAGCGGCAGUCGGGAGGCCAAGUCAAGGGUAUGGGUGAGAAACAAAUUGAAGUUGACAAGCGCAUCUUGAGAACACAAAUAAGCACUUUGAGGAAGGAAUUGGAGUCUGUCCGAAAACAUCGAAAGCUUUAUCGCAACCGUCGACGGUCGGUGCCUAUUCCUGUUGUUUCUCUGGUGGGAUAUACAAAUGCUGGAAAAAGUACACUCUUGAACCGCUUAACUGGAGCUGAUGUGCUCGCUGAGGAUAAAUUAUUUGCCACACUAGACCCAACAACACGGAGGGUGUUGAUGAAGAGCGGCACUGAGUUCCUCCUAACAGAUACUGUCGGGUUCAUUCAGAAGCUACCCACUAUGCUGGUGGCAGCAUUUAGAGCAACACUGGAGGAGAUAUCAGAAUCAUCAAUUAUUGUUCAUCUUGCAGAUAUCAGCCAUCCAUUAGCUCAACAACAGAUAGGUGCUGUUGACAAAGUACUGAAAGAGCUGGAUAUAGACUCGGUUCCGAAGUUGGUUGUGUGGAAUAAGGAAUCUAAAAACAAGGUCGUGUGUUGUGACUCAUCAGAUUCCACACUCUCCUGCGACUCCCGAAUAGGGUCCUGUUUUUCCCCCUGGGGAAUGCAGGGAGAUUUCCCUCCAAGCCCAGUGGAAAAACUACCCAGAUUGACAAUACCGAUAACCCAUUGAGAGUGAAGGAGGAAGCCGAGAAACAAGGGAUAAUCUGCAUAUCCGCCAUGAAUGGUGAUGGUUUGGAAGAGUUCUGCAAUGCAAUCCAAGCAAAGUUGAAAGACUCACUGGUGCCCAUAGAAGCUUUUGUUCCGUAUGACAAAGGAGAUCUGUUAAAUGACAUACAUAAGGUUGGAAUGGUUGAGAAAACGGAGUACAUGGAAAAUGGCACGUUGAUAAAAGCACAUGUGCCUCUACCUCUUGCAAGGCUUCUCACGCCGUUGCGGCAGCAGGUGGCUGCUCCUCUAUGAUCAUCCCUUUUCCAGCUCGAGUCCAUCAUCGGCCGUCAUAUGGUUUUUGUUGGCGGGCGACGUACAAAGUUUAGUAGGAGAGAUUAUCUUGUUUCCCACUUGACCUUUGUAGGGCAGCAAGUACACAGUUUUCGCAACAAUAACAAGUACACAGUUUUUUUUCCUCAAA